ACGGUCCUAAGGUAGCGAAAUUCCUUGUCGGGUAAGUUCCGACCUGCACGAAUGGCAUAACGAUGGCCACACUGUCUCCUCCCGAGACUCAGUGAAGUUGAAAUGUUUGUGAUGAUGCAAUCUACCCGCGGCUAGACGGAAAGACCCCAUGAACCUUUACUGCAGCUUUGCAUUGAACUGUGAACCGAUUUGUGUAGGAUAGGUGGGAGGCAGAGAAGAGGCCACGCCAGUGGUCUUGGAGCCGACCUUGAAAUACCACCCUGAUUUGUUUGCGGUUCUAACCACGGACAGUGAUCCUGUCUUGGGACCGUGCAUGGUAGGCAGUUUGACUGGGGCGGUCGCCUCCUAAAGGGUAACGGAGGAGUACGAAGGUACGCUAGGUACGGUCGGAAAUCGUGCUGAUAGUGCAAUGGCAAAAGCGUGCUUGACUGCGAGAGCAACAACUCGAGCAGAUGCGAAAGCAGGUCAUAGUGAUCCGGUGGCUCUGAAUGGAAGGGCCAUCGCUCAACGGAUAAAAGGUACUCUGGGGAUAACAGGCUGAUACCGCCCAAGAGUUCAUAUCGACGGCGGUGUUUGGCACCUCGAUGUCGGCUCAUCACAUCCUGGGGCUGUAGUCGGUCCCAAGGGUAUGGCUGUUCGCCAUUUAAAGAGGUACGUGAGCUGGGUUUAAAACGUCGUGAGACAGUUUGGUCCCUAUCUGCCGUGGGCGUUGGAAGAUUGACGGGGGCUGCUCCUAGUACGAGAGGACCGGAGUGGACGCACCUCUGGUGUACCGGUUGUCACGCCAGUGGCAUUGCCGGGUAGCUAAGUGCGGAAGAGAUAACCGCUGAAAGCAUCUAAGCGGGAAACUUGCCUGAAGAUGAGUCUUCCCGGAGGUUGAACCUCCCUCAAGAGUCGUCCGAGACCAGGACGUCGAUAGGUCAGGUGUGUAAGCGCUGUAAGGCGUUGAGCUAACUGAUACUAAUUGCUCGUGAGGCUUGAUCCU
rnacentral:rRNA from 1 species